GGGAUCGAGUACUUAGAACUGUGGGCUUCUACUAAUAUCCUUUCUCUCAAUCCAUCAAUAUUAGGAACACAUAACUGACAUUGAUAGUGAAGGACACCAUCUCCCACUUGAGAUAAACCUUAACCUUUUGCUGUUGAAUCGCAUCCAUUAUCUGGAUAAGUAUGGGAUCAUUACACUGUUUCUCUUUCACUUCCACUACUAAGGAUGACUCUAAACCAGUCUAAACCACUAUAUCCC
rnacentral:lncRNA from 1 species